rnacentral:siRNA from 1 species
UCGGACCGCCUUGAAUUAUAAU